AUCAACCUCUGGAUGUCUCUCCUUAGAACCAUACAACCUCUGGGAUUGACACUGCAGAUAGCACAACCGUCAUGGUCAUGCUCAUAGUCUCUUACCAAACAUAUAUCCUUAGGCAUCCUCACCAAGGACCUUCUAAUAAAGUGGACAUCAAAUACCUUGAACUCCCCAGGACAGCCGUCCACUAUAUUAACAGAUGAAUUUCCAUGGGCAGGUAGUGGAUUAGCUUUGACGUUUGGC
rnacentral:lncRNA from 1 species